CAUGCAGUGAUUUCAGGGCAAUAUCCUGAAAGCAGAGCUGGGGUGAGUGCCUGGGUAUGCGAGAGCGUCACCCGGAGACACACCAACAUGUGCAAGAAUGAGGUAAGGAGCGCACCGGGGCCAGGAACAUGCUGAACCCAAGAGCAUACAGGUGCUGACAGGCUGGUGCACAGCUGAGGUGGCGAAGCAGUGAGCAGUGGAAAGCCAGAGAGGCAUGAGUGUACCAGAGGUCAGCGCACAUCAGAGAUCAACACCCAGGCCAGUGAUCCAUCCAGCUGACUCCAAGGGUGAAUCACGCAGAAAAGCAGAGACCAGAAUGGUGGUUACCAGGUGCUGGGAGACAAGGCACUGGGGAGAGGUUGGUCAAUGGGUACAACAUUUCAAAUAGGGGGAAUAAGUUCAAGAAAUUUAUUGUACAACAUGUGAUUGUGAUGUGCGUCAGGAUUGAAGAUUACAGAACUAACCAGAAUCUACCCCUUAAUCACACCCCUAUAGGAUGGUGAGAUAUUACAAGAUGCUUUAUGAUUGCUCCAUGAUGAAGACCAAUGUGUGAUCUGGCCCACUUACAGCAGAACUGUUAAAAACCAGGAUUCCUGAGCAAUACAACAGACCACCACAACCAAGAUAUAGGAGAUGGAUGAAGAAAUCUGCAUGUAACAAAUUCUCAGGGGAUUCCUAUGCACCCUCAAGAUUGAAAGUCACUGAGCAAAGUCCAAACUCUUUAAUCAGGCUUCAUGGCCUCUACAAUAUGCCUUUUGAGUCACAUUCCCACAAACUCUCUGCCUCCACAUCACUGGCUGACAUCUGGUCCCAGAAUACAGGUGAGCCACUGGGAUAAGAGCAGGCAUCACACACCUACCCUGACAGGGCCCCUACAAAGAACCACUAUGAUUGUUAUUUUGUGGUUGAAGAUACUGAGGUUUACAGAGGUCCAGUGACUUGGCCAACAUCACAGAGCAAGUGUGUGGCAGAGGUCAGAUUCAAAUCCACAUCAAUGGGAUUUCAAGAGUCCUCAUUCUUAACCACCCUGAUAUACCACACUUUAUGUUCCCUCAAAUGUCCUCAUACCUGUGUCCACUGCUCAGCUGUCCCCUCAGCCUCACAUGCUCAGGACACUCUAAUCUUUUGCAAACAUAGAAUGUAAAUAUCCUGCUGGACCCUUAAACUUUCACAAAUCCCACUAAAGAGUAUUUACUAUUCCCAGAUCCUGUGUACCAACAGCCUUUUGUCAAUAGCACCAUUUUUGACUGUUAAAAUGACCUUGCGAAUAUUUGUUUAUGUUCCAAUGUCCUUUACUAGCCUUUUUUUAAAAAAAUCCUAAAACGACAAAACAAAUUGCUAAGACACAGAAGGAUUUUAGGGCAGUAAAAUUUUUCUAUGUGAUCCUACAAUGGUGGAUACAUGUCAUUUCAUGCUUGUCCAAAGCCAUAGAAGGUACAACACAGGGAGUGAACCCUAGUAUCAACUAUGUCUUGAGUGAUAAUGAUGUGUCAGUGUGGGUUCAGUGCUUGUAACAAAUGUACCCCUCUGGUAGGGAUGCUGAUAGGAGGGGAGGCUGUGCAUGUGUGAGGCAAG
ensembl:lncRNA